UUAAGAAAAUAUCUGCAACCACGCGCAACCCCGCACAUUUUAAAGGGACCCCAUUUGAGGUGGCGGCACUAGUAGAAGGUAUCGAAAACGGCCGCUAUAAUAACUGUAUUCUAGGAUCACCUUGGUGGAAAUUUUUCACUAGCACUGUACUGGUCUACCAACUUUACCUGUCAUCGUAUUCUAGUUACGUCCCAUAACAUUAGUUUAAUUUUCUGUGCCUCUCAAAUGCAGAGUUGUGAUGUCUCGAAGUGGUUUUCAGUUUAGUGAAGGAGAUUGGACUUGUCCUGGUUGCGGAAAUGUAAAUUUUGCUCGUCGAAUGGAAUGCAAUAGAUGCAAAGAAGCAAGAAAUAUUGGAAUUACUAAAGUUAAGAAAGGGGGAGUUCAAAUUGGAAAACAAGCUGCUGAAAAGAGUAAAGGACUUUUUAGUGCGGAUGACUGGAUGUGCAAAACAUGUGGAAAUGUGAAUUGGGCGCGACGAAACGAUUGCAAUAUGUGCAACACUCCGAAAGUUGGUGUUCAAGAGGAACGUACUGGUUUGGGUGGUGGAUUUAAUGAAAGACAAGGAGUCGAAUAUAAAAAAAGAGAGGAUUCUGAUGAUGAAUAUGACAUAUAUGGAAGAUUAAAGAAAAAUCGUGGAAAGAAGUCAAUUGAAAAUCAAUUAACUGAUCGUAAAAUUGAAAACAGGGAAGAUAGUGAAGAGGAUGAAAGUGAUGACAGUGAUGCAGAUUUAUCGAAAUACAAGCUGGAAGAAGACGACGACGAUGAUGAUGAUGGAAACGUUGACACAUCAAAAUAUGACCUGGAUGUAUCUGACCAAGAAGAAGACCAGUCAAGCAAAAAAUACCUUCACCCUUCAAAUGAAAAAUCAUUAAGUUCAAAGAAGAGACAAAUAAAAGAAUCAAACCGGUCUAGAAGCAGGAGUCCAAGGGACAGAAAACUGUCAUCUCAUUGAUCACUGUGAAGGUUGGGGUUUCAGGAAUGUCAUUGAUUUGCAAGUUUUUCAAUAAGUUUGAUAUAGGAAACUGGAGAAUUUCUAAUAUUUAAAAGUUGCCAAACAGUUCACGGUGAAUUAAAUGAAAAGGUAAAAAAUAUUCAAGGAUGUAUGUAGUACACAUAGUAUCAGGUUUGCCAGACAAUAACAAAAUAGUUCCCAUUUAUUGAACAUGAAGUUUCCCAUUUUUUGGACAUGAAGUUAGAAACAGAUGUAAUGCUUUUAAGAAAAUAUUUGAUUUUGGUUAUAACACUUUAAAAAUUUUGUUUCGCUUAAAUAUUUCUUAUGAAUAUAAUGAAUAUAAAUACUUAUGUAUUUAUUGAACUUCUUUACACCUGGCUUUGGAUAUGUUGUUGCGCUAAUACAUCUUUAAAAAAUGGAA